rnacentral:misc_RNA from 1 species
GUUUUUAUUAUGAUAAAAUACAUUCAUACACAUAGUAUAUAAAGGGCCGAAGCCACGGUUCACAGUGUGUGUGGAUAAAGCCUUUCGGCCAUACUCUAAUGAUCCUUCCGCAGGUUCACCUACGGAAA